CAAACUGNUCAGUAACACAUGAUCAACUUACCCUAUAGAGAAAAAUAACNUCGGGAAACUGAGGAUAAUGUUUCAUAGCUGAAUAGGCUUGGAAAAGUUUUUCAAUAAAAGGGAUAAAAAAAAUGGUUUUUAUCUGCUAUAGGAUAGGAUCGUGGACGAUUAUGGUUGUUGGUGAGGUAACGGCUCACCAAGCCGAUAAUCGAUAGGGGCCGUGAGAGCGGGAGCCCCGAGAUGGGUACUGAGACAACGACCCAGGCCUUACGAGGCGCAGCAGGCGCGGAACCUCCGCAAUACACGAAAGUGUGACGGGGUUACCCAAAGUGUUCAAUUCUGAACUGUGGUAGGUGAGUAAUGUCCCCUACUAGAAAGGAGAGGGCAAGGCUGGUGCCAGCCGCCGCGGUAAAACCAGCUCUUCAAGUGGUCGGGAUAAUUAUUGGGCUUAAAGUGUCCGUAGCCGGUUUAGUAAGUUCCUGGUAAAAUCGGGUAGCUUAACUAUCCAUAUGCUAGGAAUACUGCUAUACUAGAGGGCGGGAGAGGUCUGAGGUACUACAGGGGUAGGGGUGAAAUCUUAUAAUCCUUGUAGGACCACCAGUGGCGAAGGCGUCAGACUGGAACGCGCCUGACGGUGAGGGACGAAAGCCAGGGGAGCGAACCGGAUUAGAUACCCGGGUAGUCCUGGCCGUAAACGAUGCAUACUAGGUGAUGGUACGGCCAUGAGCCGUAUCAGUGCCGUAGGGAAACCGUUAAGUGUGCCGCCUGGGAAGUACGGUCGCAAGGCUAAAACUUAA
rnacentral:rRNA from 1 species